rnacentral:lncRNA from 1 species
GGUGCGUGCUCAGUGGUUGUUUGUUGAGUGAACAAGUGAAUCCGUGUCCACCUGGCAUGUAAUACAGGGGGUACAAGGGGCCUAGAAAGGCAGAGAACUCUUGGUGAAGAAGGCUCUUCUGUACUUCAGGGGUGGGGUGUGGACAGGCAGGGCUUGGAAUCCCAGUGACGGUGGCAGGUGAGGUCUCAGAUGCAUCGCAUGCCCUAUUAGCCAUGUCCUAGUCUCCGAGGAUGUCUCAGUCACCGCCGUUAUGUUUGGGCAGUGUUUUGUCAGUUACGAGAUGCUUUUCCAUUUAAUCUUCUCAUUUGGCCCUUAAAACAUGCCCGUGAAAGAGAUUAUUCCCAUUUCGGAGAAAACUGACAUCCAGAGAAGUUAACUCACCAAAUUUCCUGUAGUGGAGGAGUGACAGGGUCAGACUUGAACUCAUCAAUAAGGGUGGUUGGUUAAUGAUUCAUAUGAGGUUCCUAAGGAUGCUUAAGAUGCUUAUUUAAAGAAGUUGCUAGAAAAAACAUUAAAAAAAAAAAGAAGUUGCUCUUUGUGGGGGUGGGGAGGUAGCCUGGUGUAAGAUGCAGGUUGGGAGACGGUGGCCCCCAUGAUGAUUCUCAGAUCCGUUCUGGCUAGCACCGCGCUGUGGUCUGAAGGUUCAGGUCCCCUCUCCGCUCCCAAUUCAUCUGUUGAAAUCCUAACCUCCAAGGGUGAUGGUAUUAGGAGGUGGGGCCUUUGAGAGGCUUUCAAGUCAUGAAGGUGGAGCCCUCACGGAUGGGAUUAGUGCCUUAGACUCGAGUCUCCAGAGAGCUCUCUUGCCCAUGAAGUUCAGCAGAUUUCUGUGGACGGUGCCGGCCUGCGGUCCCCCCCAUCAGGCCAGCUUCUUGCAUGCCUGCACAUGAAUUUGCAGUCCCUGCUGAAUGAGAAGGAAGCCCGGCUUGGGGAGGGCAGCCUGGGGUUCGAGCCAGGACUCUGACACUCGCUCUGCUACCCUGGGAGAUUUACCUCUGCUCUCCGUGCCUGGUUUCAUUUCCUGAUGAGGACUGUGGGCUUAAUUUCCAACUUUGUACAACAGAAACUUUCUCUCCCACACACCUCUGAAUUUACCCUUGGUGGGCUGCUGCCUGCCAGCGCCGAUCUGAGCUUCCCCUGCCGGCGGCCCCUCCUCCUGGCCUGAUUCACAGCUCUCCGGCUGCUUCCGCAUCUUUGGGGAGCCUCGUCUCUGGCAGGCCCCCCCCCAUUCCACAGGGGGGUUGCAUUCUGGAUUGUUCCGCUUGGCUUGUUGUUUACAAAAUGAGAGGCUGACUAUGUUUCUCUUUCUUUUUUGGUUAAUAUCUGCAAUUUGCCCUCAUUUAAUCCAUCUAUAUCAGCUAUUAGUUUGCUCACCUUCCACAAUUAUUUUCAUGCACCCUUGGGCUCAUAAACCAUUGUUCCAAGUGGUGUGUUGCCUAUUUUAAGAACUUAAUUUGUUUGUAAUGUGCACAUCAGCUGCAUGAUUUGUUUCUUGCUUGUAAUUAACUUUUAAGCCGAUGCCAUUCCCCCGCCAAAAACGAAGCUCAAGGUAAAGUCAGUAAGAUUAAUCAUGCUGGCUGCAUCCAAAUCUUCCGACAUCUUCCUCGGACUCAGCAAGUUUGGGGGAAAUGAUAUUUUUUUUCCUUCCACUUCCAUCUGUUACCCUGCCGAACUUGGAGUCAGUCCAUCCAUUAGUGGGCUUGAGUGUCAGAGUUGGAAUCUGACACUUUUCAGUUUCUGUACCAAGAUAAGCAAGCUCUUCUUCCAAACCCUCUCACCCUGCAACUUGAACCCAUCUCUUCCUUUCUGAGAGGGUUCCUGGACCCAUGAAUCAUGAAAUGGUUGUAUAAUACGUCCCGGCUUCCCUUAUCGCUGUUGCCAAUUUCCACCGUCUUCUGUGAGGACAUAAAUCGGCAGUGUCUUGGACUCAUCAUCUGCGUCGGUGGGGGCAAGUGAUCGGGUUGGGUAUAGCUAACUUUAUUAAUCUUCCCAUUUAACAACACCCUAUCUGCGGUUCGCAGGUGAAAUCAACUUUCCUUUGUGGCUAAGCAGACUUGGAAACUGGGUUGUACUAGAUCGGUGCUUCUCCAGCCUUGCUGUGUAUGCACGCCUCUGGGAGACCGUGCUGAAAUAAAGUACAGAUUCUGAUUUAGUAGGUCUAGGACGGGCCCUGAGAACCUGCAUUUUAACCAGCUCCCAGAAGAGGCCAACGCUGACAGGUCCAGGACCACACUUGGAGAGGUGGGCACCGGGUUGCGGUCUUCACGAAGACGGGAAUUAUGUCAGUCUUGUUCCUCACUGGCAUACGGAAGCUCUCAACUAUUUGCAGACUGAAUGAGUCAAUGAAUGAGCUACACUCAGAUAUAUAGAUUAUCCUCUAUCAGAUCGAUCUUACAGGAGUGAGAGGUCUUCUUUCUUAUUCACACACUCAGAGAGAGAGAGAGAGAGAGAAAAGUAGUAAUUUAUAUAUUUCCCAAUUUAGGAAGGGCUAAAUGUCAUACGCUGAUUUAUCUCCUCCAUAUAUAUGGUAUUUAUGUGUGCGCACACACAUAUGUUUGGCUUUUGGAGAUGAAUUUAUAGUAACAGAACUGCUCUUCACCAUGCGUCUCUUUCUAAGUAUAGCCUGCCUGCCUUCAUCCGAAAGGGCCCGCUUCCAGAGAGCCCUGCAAACUGAGAAAUCCUUGUUCCUGCUUUAAAAAUUUCUUCAGAGAGCUGCCUGGUUCUCCCUCUGAAGCACUGGCUUUUCCAACAUUCUUCUAGUCCCCGAUGACAUCAAUGGAGGUGCUUCAAUUAAGUGCUUUCCGUAAUCCUUCUUCCCUUGAACAUCCUGAAGCUUCUGGUAUUUUUCAGCUACUACAGAUGGGUUGUUAAUUUUUCCAGAGGCCGAGAUUAUGGAUCCAACGCAUACGCAAAAAGACUGUUUUCUGGGAACCGGAAGUCGGGACAGGAAAUCUGAUGAGGGUGCAGAGUACUUAAAGAGUCAGAGGGGCAGAGUACUUAAAAUUGGACCCGUUUCCUGAUGCAUCUGAUUUUAUAUGUGGGAUUUCAGAUUCGUUUUCUCUGGGAGGGCCUCCAGAUUGUCUCGGUGCUCGGGUCCCCCUGAACCUCUUCUUCCAAGACAGGCUGUGGGUUCUUUCGGAUUUCUCCCCUGGGCUUCCUGAAAUGUUGUGGACUCUUGGGGUUUCCUGGCUCAACCCCAAUGUGGGACAUGGGGAAAAGCCAAAGGUAGAGUUGCUGAGAGGUUGUGUGCCCAAGGCCUGGUGGCUAAGAGGUGGUAGAGACCCUCCCACUGACUCAGGCAGUCUGACCCGGAGCUGGCAGUCUUAACUAUUAAGCUCUGCAGUCAUGCUUCUCAAACUUCAUGUACUCAGGACCCUCAUGGGGACCUUGUUAAAAUGCAGAGUCUGAUCCUGGUGGGUCUGGGUUGGAGUCUAAGACUCUACCGUUCCAACAAGCUUCCAGAUGAUGUUCACCUUGUUGAUCUGUGAUGCACAUUCUGAGAACCAUUGGUCUAGCAGGUCUCAGCCCUGACUGCACAAUGAAAGCUUAAAAAAAAAAAAAAA